UGGAUAACCUGCCCUGGUAUCUGGGAUAACAUCUCGAAAGGGGUGCUAAUACCGGAUAAGCCCACGGGAUCUUCGGAUUCUGCGGGAAAAGGUGGCCUCUAUUUAUAAGCUACCGUAUCAUGAUGGGUCCGCGUACCAUUAGCUAGUUGGUGGGGUAAUGGCCUACCAAGGCGACGAUGGUUAGCUGGUCUGAGAGGAUGAUCAGCCACACUGGAACUGAGACACGGU
rnacentral:rRNA from 1 species